CCUCUGAUGGGCGUCUUACCAGACACGGUUAGAUCUCGAUGCCUCUGUCUAAUACUGUCUGGUAAUGCCGUCUAUCCAGGGC
ensembl:miRNA